AUGAUUUCUGGUAAACGAGGGUUGGACUGUUUGGUAGAAUCAGUUAAUAGGGAAGAAAAACAACAGGGUGUAGACACAGCCGGCGUGAGCCACCGCGCCCGACCUCCUGCAAUUUCUACUCUAUCAGGUGUCUGCCCUAUGAUUUUUUAUCUUACUAUGAGCAAGAAGAAAAAGAAGAAGAAACCUUUUAUGUUAGAUGAGGAAGGGGAUACCCAAACAGAGGAAACCCAGCCUUCAGAAACAAAAGAAGUGGAGCCAGAGCCAACUGAGGACAAAGAUUUGGAAGCUGAUGAAGAGGACACUAGGAAAAAAGAUGCUUCUGAUGAUCUAGAUGACUUGAACUUCUUUAAUCAAAAGAAAAAGAAGAAAAAAACUAAAAAGGUAUUUGAUAUUGAUGAAGCUGAAGAAGGUGUAAAGGAUCUUAAGAUUGAAAGUGAUGUUCAAGAACCAACUGAACCAGAGGAUGACCUUGACAUUAUGCUUGGCAAUAACAAGAAGAAAAAGGAGAAUGUUAAGUUCCCAGAUAAGGAUGAAAUAUUAGAGAAAGAUGAAGCUCUAGAAGAUGAAGACAGCAAAAAAGAUGAUGGUAUCUCAUUCAGUAAUCAGACAGGCCCUACUUGGGCAGGCUCAGAAAGAGACUACACAUAGGAGGAGCUGCUGAAUCGAGUGUUCAACAUGAUGAGAGAAAAGAAUCCAGAUAUGGUUGCUGGGAAGAAAAGGAAAUUUGUCAUGAAACCUCCACAGGUUGUCCAUGUAGGAACCAAGAAAACUUCUUUUGUCAACUUUACAGAUAUCUGUAAACUAUUACAUCGUCAGCCCAAACAUCUCCUUGCAUUUUUGUUGGCUGAAUUGGGUACAAGUGGUUCUAUAGAUGGUAAUAACCAACUUGUAAUCAAAGGAAGAUUCCAACAGAAACAGAAAAUGUCUUGAGAAGAUAUAUCAAGGAAUAUGUCACUUGUCACACAUGCCGAUCACUGGACAGAAUCCUACAGUAGGACACGCGACUCUAUUUCCUACAGUGCGAAACUUGUCAUUCUAGAUGUUCUAUUGCCAGUAUCAAAACCAGCUUCCAGGCUGCCACGGGCAAGCGAGCACAGCUCCGUGCCAUAGCUAACUAAUUUGCUAAUCACUGAUUUUGCAAAGCAUGUUGUGGAGAUGUGGCUGGACAGGUUUGCCAUCAGAGUGGAUAUACCAUUGUAUUAAAAACAAGAUAAAAAAGCUGCCAAGAUUUUUGGCGAGUGGUUGGUUGGUCUGAAGUCCUUGCAAGACGCUGAUGUUCAAGCUGUUGACAUACUCAUUGCCUACUUUAACACCUGUCAGAGAAAUGUCAUAUGGGGUAAGGAGGUGCUUUUUAAAAAUCAUUCAUAGACUUCUCUAAAAUGCAAGAUAAAUUAAAGUUAUUAUAACAGUGAUUCUUUCAAAA